UUGAAGGCGAUGAUGUUGAAAACUACCUAUUUUAUGAAUGGUUAUUUAGCCAUUUUUUUGUGAUUAAAAAUCACCAAUGGAUCCUUCUGAGCCUUCU
rfam:Gossypium arboreum cultivar AKA8401 contig_17201_1, whole genome shotgun sequence.